GAUUUCCCAUUCCGCAAGGAAGUAAGAUCCCUGAAAGAUGAUCAGGUUGAUAGGUCUGAGGUGGAAGUGUGGCGACACAUGGAGCUGACAGAUACUAAUCGAUCGAGGACUUAACCAC
rnacentral:rRNA from 1 species